rnacentral:rRNA from 1 species
UACGGAAGGCAGCAGUGGGGAAUAUUGCACAAUGGGCGAAAGCCUGAUGCAGCUAUGCCGCGUGUAUGAAGAAGGCCUUAGGGUUGUAAAGUACUUUCAUCGGGGAGGAAAAACAAAACUAAUAAUUUUAUUUCUUGACGUUACCCGAAAAAGAAGCACCGGCUAACUCCGUGCCAGCAGCCGCGGUAAUACGGAGGGUGCUAGCGUUAAUCAGAAUUACUGGGCGUAAAGAGCACGUAGGUGGUUUUUUUAAGUCAGAUGUGAAAUCCCUGGGCUUAACCUAGGAACUGCAUUUUGAAACUGAAAUACUAGAGUAUCGUAGAGGGAGGUAGAAUUCUAGGUGUAGCGGUGAAAAUGCGUAGAUAUCUGGAGGAAUACCUGUGGCGAAAAGCGGCCUCCUAAACGAAUACUGACACUGAGGUGCGAAAAGCGUGGGGAGCAAAACAGGGAUUAGAUACC